GCGUCGCAUCGGAUCGCGUCCAUAAAUCUUUCGUACUGACUCAGACAGGUAAGAGCACCGCUGAACUUAAGCAUAUCAAUAAGCGGAGGAAAAGAAAAUAACAAUGAUUCCUUAGUAACGGCGAGUGAAGGGGGAAAAGCUCAAGUUUUAAAUCGGCGCAGGUUCACCUGGUCGAGUUGUAAUUUGAAGAAGCGUUUACCGCGUCCGGGUCGACCCAAAUCCUUUGGGAUAGGGUAUCAUGGAGGGUGAGAAUCCCGUCCGGUUGACCUCUGGAUGUUUUACGUUACGCUUUCUAAGAGUCGAGUUGUUUGGGAUUGCAGCUCAAAACGGGAGGUAAAUUUCUCCUAAGGCUAAAUACAGGCGAGAGACCGAUAGCGAACAAGUACCGUGAGGGAAAGAUGAAAAGAACUUUGAAAAGAGAGUAAAACAGUACGUGAAAUUGUUGAAAGGGAAACGAUUGAAGCCAGUCGUACCGACGGAAAAUCAACUUCUCGAGCGUUUGUCGUGGGUGAUGUUGAGCUUCGGCCUUCGUUGCUUGCGUUAUGGUGCUUUUGGUGUGUACUUUUCCGUAUGGUAGGUCAAUAUCGAUUUUGAUUGUCAUAAAAUGAUCGGAGGAAUGUGGCUUCGAUCUCGUAUCGGAGUGUUAUAGCCUUUGGUAGAUGUGACGGUUGGGAUCGAGGAUUGCAACGAAUACCCUUUGGGCUAUCCGUCUGACCUCUGAAAGUCGCUCGAGUGUUAAAAGCGUGCUUAUGACAUUCUAGUUGGCGGUCAAAAGGUUAGAACGCGAUUAUAUUCGUUAAGGAUGUUGACGUAAUGGCUUUAAACGACCCGUCUUGAAACACGGACCAAGGAGUCUAACAUAUAUGCGAGUGU
rnacentral:rRNA from 1 species